rnacentral:misc_RNA from 1 species
UCACCACCGAGCAGAUUCAAAAGUUCUUGGAUGAGAACAAAAAUUUGAUUCUUGCCAUACUGGAAAACCAGAAUCUUGGAAAACUCUCAGAGUGUGCCCAGUAUCAAGCCAUGCUUCAGAAGAAUUUAAUGUAUUUAGCUGCUAUCGCUGAUGCCCAACCACAACAAUCAGCAGCAACCUCACAGGCUCAAUCUACUCCUCAACUUGGAAACCAGAUGCAGCAAACUCAGGCUGCUCUGCAACAGCAACAGCAACAAGGUGUCGCUAUUUCCAAACUGCCUUUCCAGCUCAAUGCCCUUCCGACCCAGGAGCAGCAACAGCAAAUGCUCCAGUUUCAGCAGCAGCAACAAUUCCAAGGCCAAUAUGGUUUUGGACCUACUGCCAACAAUGCAAUGCGUCAACUUAUGCAACCUGGACUAAACAGCUCAGGAACUAUGGAUGUACGAGGAAAUAAGCAAGGCAG